rnacentral:rRNA from 1 species
AGCAGCCGCGGUAAUUCCAGCUCCAAUAGCGUAUAUUAAAGUUGUUGCAGUUAAAAAGCUCGUAGUUGAAUUUCGGGGUCAGUAGGUUGGUCGUGCCACUGGUAUGCACUGGCCUCACUGAUUCCUCCUUCUUGUAGAACCGUAAUGCCAUUAGUUUGGUGUUGCGGGGAAACAGGACUGUUACUUUGAAAAAAUUAGAGUGUUUAAAGCAGGCUAACGCCUGAAUACAUUAGCAUGGAAUAAUGAAAUAGGACGUUCGAUCCUAUUUUGUUGGUUUCUAGGAUUGACGUAAUGAUUAAUAGGGAUAGUUGGGGGCAUUAGUAUUCAAUUGUCAGAGGUGAAAUUCUUGGAUUUAUUGAAGACUAACUACUGCGAAAGCAUUUGCCAAGGAUGUUUUCAUUAAUCAAGAACGAAAGUUAGGGGAUCGAAGACGAUCAGAUACCGUCGUAGUCUUAACCAUAAACUAUGCCGACUAGGGAUCGGAUGAUGUUAAUUUUUAAUGACUCAUUCGGCGCCUUAA